UUUUGUACUGCUGUUUAAACUAAUUUUUUUUUACUCUUUUUUUUCUCCAAAACAAACAGAAAGAGAGUAGCCCCCUCUUCCCCAUUUUCGUUGGUGCUCUGCUAGGGUUUCAAAAGAAACCCAUCAUCGCCAUCAUCGCACAAAGCCACCGAGGGCGGUGGCUGGAGCCACGCGAAGAUCAGAUUUUCAGCCCUUUUCAAGAGAGCCCGAAAGCAAAACGCCUCCCAAACUCAGAAAAUGCGAAAGAAAAGGCCUCUCUCUUUUCCCUUUAAGUCAGAUUCUGACGACGGAGAAUAGAUCCGUCGAGGUGACACGGGAUUCCGGUGAGAUUCCUUCUCUUAUUUUUUAAAAAUAGAUUCGUAAUAGAAACAAAAGAAAAAUAAUAGUAAUAAACGAAAUGAAACCAAAAAAUAAAGAAAGAAAAUGAACAGUCAACCUUUUGUUUUUUUUUGAUUGCUCAAUUAUGCUGUGUGUACAAUCGUUUUUUUUUCUCGGUCUUAUACAGCCGAUUUACAAGUCAUUAUUUUUCUAUUGUUUAGCCACUGUUCAUACUGCUCUAAUUUGAUGUUUCUCUGUUACUUUUUCUGCUGUUGUUUCUUUGUUGCCCUUUUUGUUCUUGUUUCUGUUUCUUCCUUUUUUGCAGGCAAAGUCAACGAGGCAGGAGCUGCUAUUUUGGUGCAAGCAGUACCAGGGGCGGUGGUUUUCGGGCGAUGAGCGUGCUGACCCAGCAUGUGGAAGCAGCGGCGCAACAGGAAACCCUAAGGUUAGGGUUCGGGUUAAUUUUUGGGCCACUGAGCCUUUAAUUUAUUUUGAUUUAUUUUUUGUGGGCUGUAGUUUUAAUUGAUUUUCUUUUAUUUUUGUUUUUGUGUCUGAUUUGGGCUUGUUGGGCCCGGGUAAACUUGGGUUCUUACAUAUCGAAUAUUUGAGAGGCAAAUAUUGUUAUUUAUAGAAGGCCAGAUAUUCGUUUCCAGUGAACAAAUUUUACAAUCCACAAUAUUUAACUUGACGACAUCCUCGCACAGAUAUAAAAACUCAACAACAUUAUAUAUUUUUACUCUUUAAAUAGUUGGUACAUUAUUAAAGCGUUGGUAAAGAGUAAAAAAAAUAUAUUUAAAAGGCGAGCGUAUUAAUAGUAUAUUUUUUCAAUUCCACAAAUCAACUUAAAAUAUUGUCAUUUAUUUCAUUUCUUUUAUAUAUUUAAACCUUACAUUCACUUAUCAACUUUAAAUCAAAUAUUUUCUCAUAUUUAAAGUAAAAAGAAGAAAGAUGUUAACCUUCUCCACCACUUGUGGAAUUUGUUUCUUUAAUUACAUACUUUGGGAAAAUCCAAACCCAAAACUGAAAAAGGACUGCAAUUACCAAUCCAAUUUAUUGCUUGUAAUCCAUGAAGUAAAAACUUAAAAUUUCACAUUACUUAAAAGUAAAUUUUACUCUAACAGAAAUACAUAUAAGUUAAUAUUGCACGUGUCAUGUUUCAUGGAAAAUUAAGCAACCACCUCUUUUCUGUUUUUACCUUAACAAUUUAUCCACUUCACUAUAUAUAUGAUGGGUGUGUUAGAAAAUAUGAUUUAUAUUAAUAAAUACCUUUAUUUAAUUUUAAUUUAAGAAAAAGUGUAGAUGUAUGUAGAAGAGAAUCUCAUGUUUUGUUAUAGCUAAGUUUGCUUCAAUUUUAUAUUAGAUUUCUCCAAUUUAUGUUGUCUUGUUCAUUAAUUUAAUAAUUUUUUAGAGCAUGACAUAUGUAUUUUAUACUUAUAAAAUUAUAAUAAAAUAAGUAUCAACAGUAAAUAAACAAUUCGAUUUUGAAUUCAAAAUCUGACCCAUGAUUCUAGCUAUAAUGGGUAAAUGAGGAAUUUGUGGUAUCUUCCUAUCUUAAUUUAUACUAGUUUGGUUUAUAUUAGAUAGAUAUUUGUCUAUAUCGGAGAGAAUUAUGGAUAAAUUUAGGUAUUGUAUGUAUAUAAAAUAAUACUCUUUAAUUUAUUUCAACGUAUAAUAUUCAAAAGGGUAAAUUAUGUCAUUAGUCACUAAAUUAUGUGUAAUACCCAAAUUUUGCCCGGGGUCCAAUAAAAUCACAGCCCAAAUACCAAAACUCAACUAAAACCCAAAAUACCCCAAGCCCAAAUACAACCAAAAAUAAAAAUAAAAAAUAAAAAAAUGAAGAAAAAAAAAAAACCUAACCUCUUCAGCCUAUGUGCCGCCCUAAGCGCUGCCCUAUUCCUCUUUUGUCUACCACUUAUAAAAAGAAAAGAUAGUAAAUAAAAAAAAAUGUUGUAACAAGGCUAUAAAAGCCAUCAUAAAACCAAAUGUAAAUGAGAAGGAGGGAUAAAAAAAAACAUUGUAUUUUCACAUAGAGAUCAAAAAUCCAAAGCAAAAAAAGGUUGAUUUUAAUUUCUUGUAUUCCCUUUGUUCAUUUUUCAUUUUUGUUAUUUUAUUUUAUUUUCUUUAUUUUAUAUAUAUAUAUACAUAUACAUAAUUUAAUUGAAUUACUUAUUUGAAUUCCCUUACAAACAUGUUUAUAUUUUUCCCUUUAAAUCUAUUUAUGUAUACCAUUUAUUCCCCAAUUUUAAAUUAUACUUUGUUUAUUUCAAACACUUGCCUAUAUUACUAUUUUUUUUAUAUACAAUGUUUAUAUUAAGUUUUAUGUUUUAUGUAUCUUGUUAAUUGUUGGUAAGUAAAUCUUGUUUCAAAUUAUUUUGUAUAAUUAUUGAUUUAUAUUAUAUAGUAUGUCAUUCUUAUAUUCUUUUGUAUAUUCUUACAUGGUUGCAUUUAUAUAAUUCAUCUAUGUUACAACUUGUUAGUAUGUACAUUAUUCGUUUUAAAAUUUUAUAUAGGUACACAUUACUAUUGCUAUGCACAUAAUAUAUAUUAUAUACAUAUAUACAUUUUUUGAAUCUUGCUUUUUAAAUUAUUUUGCAUAACACUAACUUUAAAUUUCCUCUUAUAAUACUUAUUUUGAAGCUCAUUUAUAUGUUAAACUUUAUAUACUUUAUGUAUUAUUUAUUUUUAUUUUUUAUUUAUUUUACGAUCUAUUGUAAAUUUUUUGCAUGUAUUAUCUGUUUAUGUAUAUAUAUAUAAUUUAGCUACUUUUAAAUUGUUCAUUCCAAGUUUAUUUGUUUUAACAUUUUUUAUUACCUUUUAAAAUAUUUUUCUUAAAAUAGAUUUUUAUUUAACCAUUAGUUAGAAACGUUAAAUAGUGUAUGUGGUAAGAUUAUUAUCAUUGGGCAUGUUUCAGUUUUCGUGUUUGUACUUUUCAAAAAAUUGUAUAAUAUAUUAUUGAUAUAUGUUUUCCAUAUUUGUUACUUUAUUUUGCAUCCCCAUGUAUUAUAUUAUGAUUGAGAUUGGCAACCUAUUUGCUUGAAAUCAACCUUUUUGCCUGAAAUUAUUCAUUUCAUUUUCUUUGCUUCAAAUGAAUCGAAUAAAUACAUUGCAAGUUUGUUUCCAUAAUCACUCCCUUUUAAAAAAAAUAAAAAAUAAAAUUUCAAAGCGAGGUAAUAUUUCGUGUUUGGUAAUUCGAGAAAUUGUGCCCUAACGUGUUGGGUUUCGAUUUUCUGUUUGACCAAAUAAAUAUUCUCUCGAGAUUUCGUCCAUGUUUCUUUCAAAUUAAAAAUAAGGCAAUAUUUCGAAUUUAGGAAAUUUAAGAAAAUAGUACCCUAACUUACUAGGUUUCAAUUUUUCUUGUUUAACCUAAAUAACUAAAUAUCCUUUUGAAAUUUCAAAAGCAUGAGUUUUGGAAAUUAUAAAAUGAUCUUGUAUCGAGGAUUUGAAAUGUUGUGUCCUAUCGUGCUGGGUUGCGCUUUUUCAUUUGUUCAAAACAAUUGAAGAUCCCUUUGGAAUUUCACUCAUGUUUUCUAAAAACUCUUUAAAAUGAAAGAAAUGUUCGAUGUUUGGCAAUUCGGGGAAUAGUGCCCUAUCGUGUUGGGUUGCAAUUUCCCGUUUGUUCAAAAUAAUCGAAUGUCUCUUCGAAAUUUCACUCAUAUCUUCCAAGGUGAGGCAAUGGUCAAUAUUUGGAAAUUCGAGGAAUCGUGCCCUACUGAGCUGGGUAUCGAUUUUUCGUUGGACCAAAUAGUUGAGCAUCCUUUUGUUAUUUUCGAAUUAUAAAUUUUCGAACGUCGAAACAAGAAGAAUUUUGGCAAAGGACUCGGGUUAUUCAAAUGUUAUUAACAAGAACCACAUUUCAAAAACAUUUUUAAUUUUAGACAAAAGGACAGUAUUUAAUCGAUUUGGUACCAAUUUUGGGCGUAAUGAAGGUGCUAAUCAUUCCUCAUACGUAACCGAAUCUCGAGCCUAUUUUCUCAUAUUUUUGUAGACCAAAAUCAUUAUUUUAGUAAACCAAAAUGUUUUAUUAAAACAACCCAAAUUUCUAGGUGAUCCGAUCACACCUAAAUAAGAAAAGAUUGGUGGCGACUCCAUUUUCGCUUUCCAAAAAGUCGAUCCAUCAUUUUUAAAUCGAAAAAAAAAUGAAAAAAAUGGUUUCGACAGCUUGGCGACUCCAUUGGGGACAAUAAGAGAGUCAAGCUGCAAAAUUGAUUAUUUUCUGUCCUUUUGUUGAAAAUUUAAAAUUUGGUUUUUAAUAGAUAAUCCUUUUACUUCAUUCGUUUUGGUUCAAGUCCCAUAGAAUAAUAUUGCAUGGCAUUGCAUGACCAUUGUGGUCACACAUUCUAAGUUGGGAGUAAGAAACUAUGCUUUCGUGAGGUUUUCACCUCCGUAUGGGCUAGUAGAUUGCUUUCGGGGUAUAUCCGUACCUAUGAUUUCGUGAGAUUUUCAUCUCCGCAUGGUCAUAGGGAAAUGUAUCCCCCCGAGCCGAACUCGAUCUAUAUGAGCCUAUAAUGGGAAGGAUUGAGGAAUCUGCUGGUUCGGGUACCUUAUCUCUAAAACUAAACUGCAUAUAGUGAACCUCAGGAACCAUCCUUGGGUAAAGCCGCGCCGAGCCUUAGUACUUACCCGUAUAUGCGUCAUAAUAGCUAUUAUUGACACUAACUGGUGUUUUGUUUUGUUUUGUCUUUUUUGCAUCACAUUGCAUACUAAAGGACGUGUUAAUCCGUAUUCAAUUACUAAGUUAGAAAAUUUGACAUGGAGAAUGAAUUUCUUAGUAAAGUCGAGGAUAAUGCGGCCGUUCGUGCAUGGUCGAAGAGGCUGCAAUCGGAGAGAGGGGAUAGCUUGGCAGAAGGGUAUGUAUCUGAGCUGCAAGAUUUCACUCGCGUCAAUGUAGUACAAAACGAGCUGCAAGAGUUGAGAGACAUUUGGGCUAGUUGGAAUGAAGGAAUCAAGCAAUUGUUUUACCAAAAUUAUGGUGACGUAUCCUACCUGCUAGACAUUAGAGUGGAUAAAAAUUUGUUCCAAGCCUUGGUACAGUUUUGGAAUUCUGCGUACAAGUGUUUCACUUUUGGAGAAACGAAUUUGGUACCUACCAUGGAGGAAUACACUACUUUGCUCAGGUGUCCCAAAAUUCAGGUCCGGAAGACUUAUGCUCGGGUUUUUAGUAGUCAGACUUUCGUGAAGAAACUGAUGAGAAUUUCUGGGAUGAGCAAGCCUUGGGUCACUACUCGGAUUCAGCAAAAAGGAGAUAACAAAUGUAUCCCUUGGGAGAAUUUGCAAGAUUUGAUCUUGACACAUCCAGAUGAAAGAAAGAGGGUUGAUAUAUUUGCCUUAAGCAUCUACGGAUUAGUGAUAUUUCCUAAGGCUUUGAGGCACGUGGACGAGGCAGUCAUUGACUUGUUUGAUCGCAUUGAAAAGGGAAUCACACCGGUACCGGUAAUAUUGGCAGAAACGUUCAGAUCUUUGAGCUCAUGUCGGAAGACAGGCAAGGGGCGAUUCAUUGGAUGUGCACAAUUAUUGAUGGCAUGGUUCUACAGGUACUUUGGAAGGUAGACAAAGUUUCCUAUCGAGUCUUCUCCGAGGGUUAUUUCCCAUUAAAAGAAGAAGCAGGUAUACAGAAGAGAGAGGAUAUCUCAGAGGAGAAGUGGAUGGACAUUCUUCAGAACCUCAAGGAGGGGGAUAUCGAGUGGAGAGCUUAUUCGAUGGUUCCUGACAAGAUCAUGUACUGAUGUGGUAACUUCGAUUGGGUGCCAUUGUUAGGAAUUUGGGGAGCUACCGGGUAUACUCUAUUAUUAGCCUUGAGGCAAUAUAAGUCGAGGCAGUUUGUACCCACGACCUAUGGGCUUGCUCAUAGUGAAUUCUCAUUUAAAGGUGCUCAUUAUAAGAAGAGAGUUGGGAGUUAUCGGAUGCUUGGAAGCAAACUUGUUGGAUGAAGAGGUUAGCCGUCGGUUCCAUGGUAACGCCCGAGUAUAGCGAGUGGUUUAAGAAGAGGAUUAAUGAUAAUAUUCCUAGGCUAAGCUUGGAGAAUGCUCGACCUAUCAGGGAACAAUUACAUGUGGCCUCAUCAGAAUUGGAAAUUAUAAGGCAAGAUUUCGAGAAGAAGAAUUCGGAGCUCGGGAAGAAGAUCGAACAGUUAGAAGAAGAGAAGAUCCAUCUAAGGUUAGACACUGAUGUUCAGAGGUCAGAGGCUGAGAAAUGGAGAAAAGGAAAAACAAAGGCCGAAGAAGACCUAAACAGCUUGAAGACGGACUACAAGAAGCUGCGCCUAUCUAUGAGGACUGCGGUUUAGGUAAGACUUCCGAACAAUGGCGCCACGAAAUUCGAGAAGAAAAAGCCAAUACCGAUCAGUGGGAAAGAAAAUUUCAAGAAGCUCAAUCACGAAACGAAGAUUUAGAGAAAAGUCUAUCGGUAAGCAGAAAUGAGUGAGGGGAAUUAAGUGCUAGAGUGGCAGAACUCGAGAACUCUCUGUAUCAGUACCGAAACCGCAACAUCGCAAUAGAGUUGAGGGCAAGCUUGAGCAAGAUAGAAGAAAUGAAAGGAAUGAUAGAAGAGUUAGAAGCGUCCCUGCAGAACUGCGAGAUGCGGAUCCAGUUUUUUGAGGAAAACGAGGAUCAUUGGAAAGAGCAGCUUCACCAUGCGCAAGACCAAGUCAGAAACAGAGAUUACCUUAUGGGGGAAGCCAUAACCCAGAUUCGGGAAGUAGCAGACUACUUGCAAACUUUAGCGGUUCAAGCGGACACACUGAGCGUGAAGUAUGAGUUGGAGUCAGACCGUGGACAAGAGCUGGCCUCGUUGCUUAGAAAAAUUAGGACUUUGAGUGUUAGAGCGAGAUGUUAUCUGUAACUCGACCUUAUGUAAAAGAUUUUAUUUUCUAAGGGCAAUUGAAUCAAAAUUGAUGCCUCCUUCGCAUUCAUGCAUUUGCAUUACAUCAUAUCAUCAUGCAUUAAAGGCCAUAAGAGUUUUUUAAUUAAUUAAAAAUUAUUUCAGUAACCUGGAAACCAACGAAAACCAACCAACCACGCACCCCUACGGUACAAGAAAAAAAUCAAUGGAUAAGAAACUCGAGAAAUUAGAGCAAAUGCAAAAGGACAUGCAAGAACAAAUGCAGUCCCAGAUGGAAGAGCAGCUAGCCAAAAUUCAACGAGAGAUGAAGGAGCAAAUGAUUGAGUCUCAGAGAGAGAUGACGUCCCAGUUAUCCAAAUUACUGUUAAAAGGAAUAGAUAAGGGAAAGAGCCCUAUGGACCAAGUUGAGGAAAUCAAUGAAGAUCUCCAAUACCCCCUGGUUUUACUCCAAUAGAUAUACCGAUGAAGCUCGAGAUUAACCUACAAAAACCAUCGGUCACAAUCAUGCCCCAGCAAGUUCAGGUCGGAGCUUCAAUUUCGAUGAACUUCCAAACCGGCUCAGGCUCUAACUUGGUCAACAACCUGAACUAUCCGCCUGUUCCCGACUUGGAUGAAGUGGCUGAAGAGGAAAAGGUAAUGAUGGAUUUGCAAAAACAAUUAAAAAAACGGUGUAGAUGGCUUGAAGAGAAAUUCAAAGCCAUGGAGAGCGUGGAUCAUCAUUAAGGGAUUGAUGCCAAGGAUCUGAGCCUGGUCCCAGAUUUAGUCCUCCCCCCUAAAUUUAAAAUGCCUGAAUUCGAGAAAUACAAUAGAACAAGCUGCCCUGAGACCCACAUCACCAUGGUUUGCAGGUGAAUAACGGGAUAUGUUAACAAUGACCAGCUACUAAUCCACUGCUUUCAAGAUAGUCUGGUUGGAGCGGCAUCUAAGUGGUACAACCAACUGAGUCGAGCCAAGAUUAACUUAUGGAAGGACCUGGCUCAGGCCUUUAUGAAGCAAUACAAUCAUGUGACGGACAUGACCCCCGACAAGAUCACUCUCUAGAGUAUGGGAAAAAAGUCAAAUGAAAGUUUCAGACAGUAUGCACAAAGGUGGAGAGAGGUGGCUAUACAAGUUCAGCCAUCACUUCUAGAAAAAGAGACAACAAUGCUCUUUAUUAACACCUUGAAAGCCCCUUUUAUCACUCAUAUGUUGGGAAGCGCCACCAAAAGCUUCUCUGACAUAGUGAUGACGGGAGAAAUGAUCGAAAAUGCUGUAAGGAGCGGCAAGAUAGAAUUGGGAGAGAGUGCUAAGAAGUCAGUCCCGAGGAAAAGGGAUAAUGAAGUGAACAACACGAGCACAUUCAACAAUGGGCAGUCCAAAUCAUUUACCGUAAAUCAACCCAAAACGGUGACCACCAAUGAACAAAGCCCUGUAAGACAAGAAUCCAAUGCAAGGAAGAACACAGAAAUGCCACAAUUCACCCCUAUACCUAUGACGUAUAGGGAGUUGUACCAGAACCUGUUCAACGCUCAUGUGGUAUCCCCUUUCUACCUGGAGCCACUGCAGCCCCCGUAUCCCAAAUGGUAUGACACAAACACCCAGUGUGAAUACCAUACGGGAAUUACCGGGCAUUCAAUCGAAAAUUGCACUGCAUUCAAGAAAGUGGUCGAAAGACUCAUUAAGGUGGGAAUCGUGAGAUUUGAUGACUCAGCCAUGCCCAAUGUAGCAGGAAACCCACUCCCCAAUCACACCGACCAAGGAGUGAACGGGAUAAGAAAAGGCAAAAACAAGAAGAUUAAGUGUGAGGUUGCGAAAGUCAGGACUCCGUUGAGACAAGUGUGGAGGGAGAUGGUCAUGAGAGGUUUGAUCGCGUUGGAUUUAAGAAGAGAAUCCAAAGAAGAGAGGAGCUACUGCGAGUUCAACAAUGAGGUGGGGCAUGAAAUCCAAGAGUGUGUGAAGUUCAGGGCCCUAGUGCAGAACAUGAUGAACAAUAAGGAAAUGGAAUUCUAUGAAGAGACUAAAAACCCCGUAGAGGGAGACAUAUGUGCGUCGGAGGGAGAGUCGACGGUACAAAAUCAAACAGUUAACUACCCCAUGGUUUUCAUAUCGAGACCCAAAAAUAAUGAAGCUAGAGUUCAACUACCACCAAGGGUCAUAAUCCAGAGACCUGCAGUCUUACAAAGAUAGCAAAAGGGUCCCAUGGAAUUAUGAUUGUAAUGUGACAAUUCCGGGGAAGAAAAGCCUGGUCGACACUUUAAAAGAGGACCAAGAUAGGGGCUCCUAUACACGUAGUGGGAGACGUUAUGAUACAGCGAGUGAGAAGGCACAGCCCGUAAAAAGAAAAGCCCUAGUGGUCGAAGGGGUGAAGAAAAAAGUGACCAAAUCUGAACUUCCUGUCAAUGAGCUAGUUAACGAAGAAGAGGCUAAGGAGUUUUUAAAAUUCCUAAAGCAUAGUGAAUACAGCGUGGUGGAACAGCUACGUAAACAACUAGCUCGUAUCUCAGUGAUGGCCUUACUUCUAAGCUCGAAAGUUUAUCGCAGCGCGCUAAUGAAGGUCUUGAAUGAAACGUAUGUUGCCAAUGAUAUCUCCGUUAACAAACUAGACCGAUUGGUUAGUAACAUAAGUGCCGACAACUAUAUCUUCUUCAAUGACGAUGAGAUACCACCCGCUGGUAUAGGGUCGACUAAAGCAUUACACAUUACCACGCGCUGUAAAGGGUAUAUUGUAAUAGCCCAAAAUUGGGUCUAGUUGGAACAGAGGUUUCGGGACCACAAAAUCUGAGAUAUAAAUAAUUAUUUUAUGAUUAUUUUGAGGUCUAUGAUAUGAUUGCAUGAUUGUGUGAAAAUUUCGUGAAGAAAUUCUAUGCAUAAAUUGCUUAAUUCGAAGUUAGGGACUAAAUUGAAUAAGUUGCAAAACUUGCAUUCUAGAAGUUUCUAGUAUGAAAUUGAUUUGAAAUAUUAAUUAGGAGGUCUUAAAUAGCAAUUUUACCAAUUUCUAAGUUAUGGACAAAAAUUGGACAUGGAUGGAAUUUAGGGGUAAAAUGAAUUAAAAUACAAAAUUAAAAGCCAAUUUUGCUCAUCUUCUUCACCAUGGACGUGUAUACCAAGGGAGACUCCAUGGAUAGGGUUUUCAAGCUUCCCAAGCUCAAUUGUAAGUCCGUUCUAACCCCGUUUUCAAGUUCUUUACGUUUUUGGAGUCCCGGUAACUUGAUUUAGCUUAUGCUAGCAAUAAUUCAACCUAGGGUUCAUAUUUGGAAAAAUAUCCAUAGGUAAAAUUUGUGUAUUCUGGUGUUUUAUGAUACAAUAUGAGGUUUUAAAUUAUGUUAGACAACUUGUGCUACUCGGUUUUAAGUGAAAACGAGCAAAAGGGCUUAAUCGGUAAAAAUACCUAAUAGUCAUAAGUAUAUGUUAGAGUGAGAAUUUGAUGUUGCCAUAGAAGGGAAAAGUGAUCAUCAUGUCAUAAAACAUAAGAAUAAGGGAUGAAGUUUAAUUCCCGAGCCUAGGGGUAGAAGUGUAAAUAUGCAAAAGUUUAGGGGCAAAAUUGUAAUUUUUCCAAAGUUUGAGUUAAGGACUGUUUUGUAUAGUAAAUUAAUUAAAUAAAUAAAAUAUGAUGUUUUAGAUCCUGGAAAACGAGAUUUGAACCUAGAAUGAGAGAAAAAUCAAAAAUUGGGAAAGUUGGUAAAAUGGCCGUUUUAAUAUCAAUGUAAGUUCAUAUGUAUAAUAAGCAUUAAUUUAUGCAUGUUUCAAUGUAAAAUUGAUAUAUUUACUAUGAUCUUCGAGGUGCUGAAAGUAUGUAAGUUGGUAUGAUAAUAAUACAACAAUAAUGCUGUAAUUUAUAUUUGAAAGUUAAAUUUAGUGAAUUAAUUGAAUUAUGUUAAAUUAAAUGAUUAUGGUGCCAAGUUUAUGAAUUGAUUUAAAAAUAUGUCUAUGGUACAUGAAGUGCAUUGAAUUAUCAUACAUAAAUGUGAUUUCUAUGAUUAUGGAUAUUAUGGGAAAUUGUAAGUUCAUAUGAUUUUUAAUAAGACAAUGUGUAAUUUAAUGUUAUUGCGUUGAUAUUAAAUGAGAUGUAAGUUUAUAUGUAAGUAAUACAUCACUAUUACUUGUAUUAUGAUAUUUUAUAAAAAUAUUGGAAAUAUGUUUGUGGAUAAUUACUUGAUUGGUGAAAUUGUUGGAAAAGAGAGAGAAAUCCCGGUUGAACCUUCGGAAAGAUUGGAUGAUACAGAUGGUAUGUAGCUAGGUCACAUGUAUAGUGUUGAGUGCACAUCAUGUGUACAAGAGAGCUACAAGACAUUAUGAUGUAGCUAGGUCGCAUGGGUGAUACUAUGUGUACACCAUGUAGACAAGAGAGCUACGGGAUAUAUGUAGCUAGGUCGCAUGCGUGGUUCCAAGUGAAGGACACCAUGUAGACAAGAGAGCUACGAGAUAAACUGGCUAGGUCACAUGGGUGGUACUAAGUGUUCACCAUGUGUACAAGAGAGCCGAACUAUAUGAUGGGUGAAGCUAUGUGCUGAAACCACCAAGUAUCGAGGAUUGAUCCGAAGUGUUCAACGGGAGACUCUCUAUGUAUUGCUUUGUGAGUUUUGUGAUGAAUAUGUGCAGGAACUUGGUUAUGUGAAUGAUGUGUUCAUUAAGUGAUCAGGAUGUGGUAAGGUUAUAAACAAGUAAGUUAUACAUGAGGAUGAUUUUAUGGUGACCUUGUGAUCAUGGGCCUAUACUUGUGAUGUAUGAAAUGUGGUGAAAAUGAUUUGUGAUAUGUAUGUUAAAAUGAGGUUAAUACAAAGAAAGUGUGAAAGAGUGAAUUAGCAAUAAAACUGUUUUGGAUAGUAGCAGUGACGUGAUUUUGAAAAAUCACCAAAAAUAGUAUAAAUUUAAUCAGAGACUGAAUGAGAUAUCAAAUUAAAGCUUAAUGAGUAUAUUUUCAUAUAAAAGAAACAUAGAAAGCAAAGGAGUUCUAUAUUUUGAGAUAUUUAUGUUUUCGUGAGACUGAUUCAGAAUGAUUACAUGAUCCCCUGUUCUGACUUUGGAAAAUCAAAAAAAUUUGGAGAAAAAUAAUUAGAGGCUCAAAAUUAUAUUUUUAAAAUCCAUAAUGAGUCUAUUUUCAAGAUAAAUCAACAAGAACAUUAUCCGAGUUUUGUACUGAGAGAUAAUUAUUUUUUAGUGAAGAGAGGUCAGAACUGUCAGAAAGUGAAACAAGGGAAAUUUUAAUGAAUAAACUGUACUAAUUGGCUAAACCAAAAAUUAUGAAAAUUUUAUGGUGGAACGAUAUGUGAGUCUAGUUUUAGGGGAAAUUUAUAGAUCUUAAUUUGGAGCUCUGUAGCUCGAAUUAUAAAUAAUUAAGUGACUAUGACUCGUGUGGACAGUUUGAUGUGAACAUUUAUUAGUAAAUUGUGAAAUCAUACUUACAAGAAUGCUAUAUACAUUAAGGAUGUGGAAUGGAGAGGAGGAGGAGGAAAAUAAAUAUAUGUGGAAUACAUGGAAACUAUGGUAUAUGAAAUGAUAUAAUGAAAGAAAUGAUAUGUGUUUAUAAGAAAACAAAAAGAGAAUGUUAUGUAUCAUGACAUGUAUAUAUAUAUAUGACUAGUCUCAAUGUAAUGCUUGUUGGGUAUGGAAUUGAAUUGAAAUGUUUUAGGCAAACAUGUUAUUCUGCGCAUCUAAAUCGUGGUAUUUUAUAAAGAUAUGAUCUAGCUUUAAAUAUGAAUGCUUGAUGAUUAAGUUGAAGAUAUUUGGUAAGAUGAUAAUCUUGGUAUAAAUGUAUAAGUGGUACUAUAAUAAACAAGGUAAAACGAGUAUGAGAGACACAUGUAUGAUGACAUACAAAUGCUAUGUUUGUGGUUUAAUUGAGGAUUUAUGAUCAUUAAAUGAAUACCAUGUUAUAUGCUUUUGAUUUUGUAUAAGUGUGUAAGAGAUCAAGGUUGACCAAAGCUUGGAAAAUAGCCUAGGUAUAUUCCACACAGGCAGAGACACGACCAUGUGUCUCAGUCGUGUAUGGAACACGACUUUGCGACACGGGCGUGUGGAGCCUUAAAGCAUGAAAUUUCCAAGAUUUUCGUAAGUUCUCGGUUUAGUCCCAAACCCUUUCUAAAGUAUGUUUUGGGCUCCGUAGACUCAAAUAAGGGAUAUGUGUAAGAGAAUGAAUGCUUUGAAAUAUGAAUAAAAUUUUAUGGCUCGUAUUUUAGUUUAAUGUUUGUAUGUUUGUCUGGUAAUGCCUCGUACCUUAGCCCAGCCUCGGAUACGAGUAAGGGGUGUUACAUAUACGCUCCCAGGCGUACUGAUUGACAACGGAUCGACUUUGAACGUCCUACCAUUGACCACACUAAACAGAUUACCUGUAGACAGCUCUAACAUGAAGGAGUGCCAGAACAUAGUGAAGGCAUUUGACAGCACAAAGAGAAAGGUGAUGGGAAAAAUCGAGGUACCUCUUCAGAUUGGGCCAAACAUAUAUGAGAUGGAAUAGAUAUCAAACCCUCAUAUAAUUGCUUAUUGGGGAGGCCCUGGAUACAUUCAGCUGGGGUAGUGCCUUCUUUGUCGUAUCAAAAGUUGAAGCUGGUAUCAGAGGGGAGGUUGAUAACGAUCAAUGCUGAAGAGGAUAUCAUUGCAACUGUGAGCAAUAAUGCGCCCUAUUUGGAGACAGAUGACGAAGCAAUCGAAUAUUCAUUUUGAUCUUUAGAAUUUGUUAAUGCAACCUUCAUCGCUGAGGGAAGCAAAAUUCUGGUGCCAAAAUUGUCCAAAACCACGAGGAUGAGCCUCCAGUUAACGAUUGGAAAAUGAGCCCUACCCGGAAGAGGACUUGGGAGACAUCUGCAAGGAAGGGUUGAAACGCCAAUGCCGAAAGACAAGAGAGACCACUUCGAUUUAGGAUUUAAGACGGAUGCGAAACAAAGGAGAAUGAAGCUGGAAAUGAAGCAAGAAAUAAGAAGAGCUCGAUUAACGGGGGAGGAAAUCAAGUGGGAACUAAUGACAUUCCCCCAUAUAUCGAUAACAUUUGUGUCCGGGGGAAUCAUUCAUCCCGAGAGAGACACACCAAUGACGGGAGCUAUAGAAGAAAGGCUGGAAAGCUUGGACAUCAAUAUCAUAUGCGAAGAGGAGACCGGAAGAGAGAAUUUGUCGGACAUUUGCCUCUGCACGCCUGGAAGUAUUCUGGACAACUAGACUGCGGAAGAGAUUCCUGUAGCUUUUAGAACGGAUUCAGAGUAAUGUCCAAAAUACCCUUAUUGCUCUAGGCCUAGGAGUAAUAAGAAUCUUUUGUGAAAUAGGCCGAUGUUUAAAAACGACAUUUCAAUAAAAUGCACGGUUAUUAUCAUUUUUGAGCAAAUGUUAUCUCGUCCUUUCAAUUCCAUUCAUAACCAUACAAAUGAUUACUUUUGAAUUCUUUUAUUUUUGAAACAUUCUUCUAAAUAUUCUUUCAUUCGUCAUUCAUAAUCAUAUCACGCAAAUAAAUAUUUCGAAUUCUUUUGAUUCUUUGUAUCUGCCUUCGUCCUUAUAACAGGUCCCCAGAUAUUAAUGAUACGAGUGACACUGCUAGCGACUCAGAAUUUCCUUUCGAGUAAAAUGUGUGUAUGGAUAAUUCUCAGGAUUUUGAAGAUGACCAAGGUUGUAACCUAUCUCCUGAUUUGUUGAGGAUGGUAGAACAAGACGAGAAACAAAUCCUACCUCACAAAGAAUCAGUCGAAAUUAUAAGCUUAGGAGAAGGGCAAGAGGUGAAGAUCGGAACAUGUAUUACUGCGGAGAUGAAGCGAGACCUCAUUGAAUUACUUCAAGAAUUCAAAGAUGUCUUCGCAUGGUCAUACCAAGAUAUGCCCGGGUUGGACACUGACAUCAUGGUGCACCGAAUCCUCAUAAAAUAAGAGUGUAAGCCUGUUCAGCAAAAACUCUGAAGAAUGAGGCCCGACGUCUUGCUAAAAAUAAAGGAAGAAGUUCGAAAGCAGUUUGACGCUGGAUUCCUGAAGGUGAUAAAAUACUCAGAUUGGGUAGCCAACAUCGUCCCUGUCCCUAAGAAAGAUGGAAAAGUGCGAAUGUGUGUGGACUACAGAGAUUUGAAUAAAGCCAGCCCAAAAGACAAUUUCCUACUACCUCAUAUUGACACCCUAGUGGAUAACACGGCGGGACACUCACUGUUUUCAUUCAUGGACGAUUUUUUGGGAAAUAACCAGAUCAAGAUGCAUCCUGAAGAUAUGGAGAAAACCACAUUUGUAACCAUGUGGGGCACGUUCUGUUAUAAGGUGAUGCCGUUUGGACUGAAGAAUGCGGGGGCAACUUAUCAAAGAUCCAUGGUAACCUUUUUUCACGACAUGAUGCAUAAAGAAAUCGAGGUCUAUGUGGAAGACAUGAUAGCUGAGUCUCAAACAGAGAAGGAGCACAUACAAGUCUUGGGAAAAUUGUUUUUGAGGUUGAGGAAGUUUCAGCUAAAACUCAACCCCGCCAAAUGUACCUUUGGAGCCAAGUCUGAAAAGUUGCUCGGAUUCGUGGUUAGUGAGAAAGAGAUCGAGAUUGAUCCAGACAAAGUUAAAGCCAUACAAGAGCUAUCCCCGCUGCCCACUCAGAAAGAAGUUUGAGGCUUUCUAGGAAGAUUAAAUUACAUUGCUCGGUUCAUUUCACAACUGACCGAGAAAUGCGACCCUGUCUUUCGCCUCCUCAAGAAACAUAACCCAGGUGAAUGGGAUGAAGAAUGCCAAAGGGCUUUCGACAAGGUCAAACAAUAUUUAUCCCACGCCCAUGUACUGAUGCCACCUAACCCCGAUAAGCCGUUGAUACUGUAUUUGGCAGUAUUUGAGAACUCCAUGGGAUGCGUAUUGGGUCAGUAUGACGAGUCGGGGAGGAAAGAAAAAGCUAUUUACUAUCUCAGUAAAAAGUUCACGGAAUGUGAGGCAAGGUACCCACCGAUAGAGAAGUUGUGUUGUGCCCUAAUUUGGACAACCCGAAGACUGAGGCAGUAUAUGUUAUAUCAUACCUCUUGGCUUAUCUCAAAAUUGGACCCCUUGAAGUAUAUGAUGGAGUCAACAACUUUAAAUGGAAGGAUGGCCCGAAGGCAGAUUCUACUUUCUGAAUUCGAUAUAGUCUAUGUGAACCAGAAAGCAGUAAAAGGAAGUGUAAUAGCAGAUUUUCUGGCCAGUAGAGCCUUGGAAGACUACGAGCCUUUGAACUUUGACUUCCCGAAUGAAGACCUAAUGUGUGUUGCUACCACUGAAGAAGAUGACCCGGAAGAGCUUCCUUGGAAACUAAACUUUCAUGGGGCAUCAAAUGCUGUGGGUAAUGGAAUCGGGGAAGUCUUGGUAUCCCCAAGAGGAAAUCAUUAUCCAUUCACUAGUAAAUUGGAUUUUGAUUGUACGAAUAACAUGGCGGAAUACGAAGCGUGCAUCAUAGGUAUCCGUACAGCCAUAGAACGCAAGAUUAAAGUGCUAGAGGUGUAUGGGGAUUCUGCGCUAGUGAUUUAUCAACUCAAGGGAGAAUGGGAGACCAGAGACCCCAAGUUGAUCGACUAUCAGAAACUGGUCCUUGAAUUAGUCAAAGAGUUUGAUGACAUUACCUUCUGUUACCUGCCACGAGAUGAAAAUCAGAUGGCCGAUGCUUUGGCCACCUUAGUUUCCAUGAUCAAGGUGAACAAACAAGAAGAUGUCAAACCCAUCCGGAUGAGCAUUUAUGAAACUCUGGCCCACUGUUACAGUAUUGAGGAGGAUGAGGAAAAAGAUAAUCACCCUUGGUAUCACAAUAUAUUACAAUACGUGAAGAAUCGUGAGUACCCGGACCAGGCAGGUGAGAAUGACAAAAGGACGCUGAGAAAAUUGGCCAUCGACUACGUCUUAGAUGGAGAGAUCCUAUACAAAAGAAGAAAGGAUCAAGUGCUGUUAAGAUGCAUAGAUGCUGUAGAGGCUAAGAGAAUCUUGGAAGAAGUCCAUGAAGGUAUCUGCGGGACACACGCUAAUGGCUCUAUAAUAACCAGGCAAAUUAUGAGAUUCGGGUAUUAUUGGUCCACUAUGGAAGGAGACUGUAUCAAUUACACCAAGAGGUGUCAUAAAUGCCAAAUCUACGGAGACAAAAUUCAUGUGCCUCUUUCACCGCUGCAUGUUAUGGUCUCCCCACAGCCUUUCUCUAUGUGGGGUAUGAACGUGAUUGGACCGAUAUCACCUAAGGCUUCCAAUGGGCAUCGGUUCAUCUUUGUGGUUAUUGACUACUUCACCAAAUGGGUAGAAGCCGCUUCAUAUGCCAACGUGACAAAGUCGGUAGUGAGCAAAUUUCUAAAAAGGGAGAUCAUAUGUCGAUACGAAAUGCCGGAGAGGAUUAUAUCUGACAAUGCCUUAAACUUGAAAAAUAGUAUGAUAGUGGAAGUCUGCAGUCAAUUCAAGAUCAAACACCACAAUUCGUCACCAUAUCGCUCAAAAAUGAAUAGGGCAGUGGAAGCGGCCAAUAAAAACAUUAAGAAGAUCAUGGGAAAGAUGACUGAGACCUACAAAGAUUGGCAUGAGAAGUUACCAUUUGCCCUCUUUGCUUAUCGAACAUCAGUCAGAACCUCAACUGGGGCAACGCCUUUCUCUUUAGUUUACGGAAUGGAAGCAGUUUUGCCAAUCGAAGUCGAGAUCCCAUCCCUUCGAGUGCUAUCAGAGUUAAAGUUGGACGAAGCAGAAUAGAUCCAGUCUCGAUACGAUCAAUUGAACUUGAAAAAGAGGCUAAGAGCUAUCCGUCAUGGUCAGAUGUACCAAAAACGAAUGAUGCGGUCUUAUGACAAAAAGUUCGCCCUAGUUCCACGAGGGAGACCUGGUUUUGAAAAAGAUUCUUCCCAUACAGAAAAAUUUUCGAGGAAAAUGGAUGCCUAAUUGGGAGGGGCCUUACAUGGUGAAGAAAGCUUUCUCCGGAGGAGCAUUAAUUCUAGCCGAGAUGGAUGGUAAAAACUUGCCCCAUCCCGUAAAUUCGGAUGCCGUCAAGAAUUAUUUUACCUAAAAAAGGAAAGGCCGAGGUGAAAACCCGUAAAGGGCGCUUUGAGACUAAAAAAAAAAAGAUGGAAAGGCUAAGGUGAAAACUCGCAAAAGGGCACUUUGAGACCAAAGGGGUUUUUGAGUUGAAAACCCAAAAUCGGGCAGCUAAAUUUUUAAAUGUGGGGUAUGUGGUAGUCUUGUCCUCAAAGAGGAAGAACAGUACAUCUUGGGGCAUCAACAAAAUACGGGGGAUCUCUUGAACACACAUUUAACUCAAAAGAGUCUUCGAAAAAUUAGAAUAGUGAAGCUCGUGCUGCGAUAUCUGGGGCACCUUUUUUUGCACCUUAUCAGAUUUGUUAUCCUAUAUAUUCACAUCAAUUUUUACUUAAUAAAAUUCCAUUUGUCCAUUAUGAUAAUCUCUUUCGAGCAUUUUUGUUGAAAUCAUGAUUUUUGGACUUAUCAUAUUCACACAAAAGAAGUUACGCAUAUUACUCUGGAAAGUCUCUAAAUAGUACAAGGACCUAAAAUAGGGCCACUAGUCAGAACUAACCAAACUCAAAAGUGGAAAACAUUGGGAAAAGAGUAGUCCAAAUUAUGACUAUUUCUUCAAAUUUUCUGUCAGAGAUAACAGCUAAGCAAGAAGACGCGAUAGUACAUCAAUGAGGGAACCCGCAUGAACUAUGAGCAAUGAUACUUUAAGCGUUUAAAAAGGAAUCACUCCCAUAACAUUUCUACAUUCAUAACCAUUCAUUUAGUUAGGAACAUUUGAUUCAUUUCAUAACAUUCUAAUUAUUUGACAUAAAGCAUCACAUUUAGUUAGGAGCAUUUGAUUCAUUUCAAUCAUAGCAUCCUAAUUAUUUGGCAUAAGCAUGAAUACAUGAAACUGAUUUUCCAGAUCAUGUUCCUCAUAGGACAGUGCAAUAGAAUCGGUGAAUUCACAAGUCUUAACCCCCUAAGCAGUGGGGCAACAAGCUGAAGAUAUCCAAGAUGAUUUGGCAUUUCUGUAUCAGGCGGGGAGCAGAUCGAAGACAUAGCUGAUUUGGCUUUCACGUGUUUACGUUGAAGUAAAUCGAAGAUGAUUUGGCGUCUCUGUAGCGGCGGAGAGCAGAUCGAAGAUAACAGAUUUGGCGCCUCUGUAGCGGCGAAGAGCAGAUCAAAAAUAACAGAUUUGGCGUCUCUAUAGUGGCAGAGAGCAGGUCGAAGAUAACAGCUUUGGCGUCUCUGUAGCGGCGGAGAGCAGAUCAAAGAUGAUUUGGCAUCUCUGUAGCGGCGGAGAGCAGAUCGAAGAUAAAAGAUUUGGCAUCUCUGGAGCAACGGAGAGCAGAUCGAAGAUAACAGAUUAGGCAUCUCUAUAGCGGCGGAGAGCAGAUCGAAGAUAACAGAUUUGGCGUCUCUGUAGUGGCGGAGAGCAGAUCGAAGAUAGUAGAUUUGGCGUCUCUAUAGCGGCGGAGAGCAGAUCGAAGAUAACAGAUUUGGCGUCUCUGUAGUGGUGGAGAGCAGAUCAAAGAUAACAGAUUUGGCGUCUCUGUAGCGGCAGAGAGCAGAUCGAAGAUAACAGAUUUGGCAUCUCUGUAGCGGCGAAGAGCAGAUCGAAGAUAAUAGAUUUGGCGUCUCUGUAGUGGCGGAGAAGAGAUAGAAGAUAACAGAUUUGGCGUCUCUGUAACGGUGAAGAGCAGAUCGAAGAUGAUUUGGCAUCUCUGUAGCGGCGGAGAGCAGAUCGAAGAUAACAGAUUUGGCGUUUCUGUAGCGGCGGAGAGUAGAUCGAAGAUAACAGAUUUGGCGUAUCUGUAGCGGUGGAGAGCAGAUCGAAGAUAAUAGAUUUGGCGUCUCUGUAGCGGCGAAGAGCUGAUCGAAGAUAAAAGAUUUGGCGUCUCUGUAGCGGCGGAGAGUAGAUCAAAGAUAACAGAUUUGGCGUCUCUGUAGCGGCGGAGAGCAGAUCGAAGAUAACGAAUUUGGCGUCUCUGUAUUAGACAGGGAGCAAAUCAAAGAUAGCAGAUAUCGCCUUCCUGAGUUGCAGUGAAGCAGAUUGAAGCCGUCAAGAGGCCAUUUAAAGAAUAUCAAGGAUCAAGAACUCAAGACUCGGUGGGCGCGGGCAAAAUUGGUCUUUUUAUAGUCUUUGCUCUAUUCCUGUUAACACAGCAAUGAGCAAAGAGGGGCAGCUGUAAGACCCAAAUUUUGCCCGGGGCCCAAUAAAAUCACAGCCCAAAUACCAAAACUCAACUAAAACCCAAAAUACCCCAAGCCCAAAUACAACCCAAAAUAAAAAAUAAAAAAAUGAAGAAAAGGAAAAAAACCUAACCUCUUCACCCUAUGUGCCGCCCUAAGCGCCGCCUUAGUCCUUUUUUGUCUACCACUUGUAAAAAGAAAAGAUAGUAAAUAAUAAAAAAAAAAUGUUGUAACAAGGCUAUAAAAGCCAUCAUAAAACCAAAUGUAAAGGAGGAGGGAUAAAAAAAACAUUGUAUUUUCACAUAGAGAUAAAAAAUCCAAAGCAAAAAAAGGUUGAUUUUAAUUUCUUGUAUUCCCUUUGUUCAUUUUUCAUUUUUUUAUUUUAUUUUAUUUUCUUUAUUUUAUAUAUAUACAUAAUUUAAUUGAAUUACUUAUUUGAAUUCCCUUGCAAACAUGUUUAUAUUUUUCCCUUUAAAUCUAUUUAUGUAUACCAUUUAUUCCCCAAUUUUAAAUUAUACUUUGUUUAUUUCAAACACUUGUCUAUAUUACUAUUUUUUUAUAUACAAUGUUUAUAUUAAGUUUUAUUCUUUAUGUAUCUUGUUAAUUGUUGGUAAGUAAAUCUUGUUUCAAAUUAUUUUGUAUAAUUAUUGAUUUAUAUUAUAUAGUAUGUCAUUCUUAUAUUCUUUUGUAUACUCUUACAUGGUUGCAUUUAUAUAAUUCAUCUAUAUUACAACUUGUUAAUAUGUACAUUAUUCGUUUUAAAAUUUUAUAUAGGUACACAUUACUAUUGCUAUGCACAUAAUAUAUAUUAUAUACAUAUAUACAUUUUUUGAAUCUUGGUUUUUAAAUUAUUUUGCAUAACACUAACUUUAAAUUUCCUCUUAUAAUACUUAUUUUGAAGCUCAUUUAUAUGUUAAACUUUAUAUACUUUAUGUAUUAUGUAUUAUUUAUUUUUAUUUUUUAUUUAUUUUACAAUCUAUUGUAAUUUUUUUGCAUGUAUUAUCUGUUUAUGUAUAUAUAUAUAAUUUAGCUACUUUUAAAUUGUUCAUUCCAUGUUUAUUUGUUUUAACAUUUUUUAUUACCUUUUAAAAUAUUUUUCUUAAAAUAGAUUUUUAUUUAACCAUUAGAUAGAAACGUUAAAUAGGGUAUGUGGUAAGAUUAUUAUCAUUGGGCAUGUUUCAAUUUUCGUGUUUGUACUUUUCAAAAAAUUGUAUAAUAUAUUAUUGAUAUAUGUUUUCCAUAUUUGUUACUUUGUUUUGCAUCCCCAUGUAUUAUAUUAUGAUUGAGAUUGCCAACCUAUUUGCUUGAAAUCAACCUAUUUGCCUGAAAUUAUUCAUUUCAUUUUCUUUGCUUCAAAUGAAUCGAAUAAAUACAUUGCAAGUUUGUUUCCAUAAUCACUCCCUUUUAAAAAAAAUAAAAAAAAUAAAAUUUCAAAGCGAGGUAAUAUUUCGUAUUUGGUAAUUCGAGAAAUUGUGCCCUAACGUGUUGGGUUUCGAUUUUCUAUUUGACCAAAUAAAUAUUCUCUCGAGAUUUCGUCCAUAUUUUUUUCAAAUUAAAAAUAAGGCAAUAUUUCGAAUUUAGGAAAUUCAAGAAAAUAGUACCCUAACUUACUAGGUUUCAAUUUUUCUUGUUUAACCUAAAUAACUAAAUAUCCUUUUGAAAUUUCAAAAGCAUGAGUUUUGAAAAUUAUAAAAUGAUCUUGUAUCGAGGAUUUGAAAUGUUGUGUCCUAUCGUGCUGGGUUGCGCUUUUUCAUUUGUUCAAAACAAUCGAAGAUCCCUUUGGAAUUUCACUCACGUUUUCUAAAAACUCUUUAAAAUGAAAGAAAUGUUCGAUGUUUGGCAAUUCGGAGAAUAGUGCCCUAUCGUGUUGGGUUGCAAUCUCCCGUUUGUUCAAAAUAAUCGAAUGUCUCUUCGGAAUUUCACUCAUAUCUUCCAAGGUGAGGCAAUGGUCAAUAUUUGGAAAUUCGAGGAAUCGUGCCCUACUGAGCUGGGUAUCGAUUUUUCGUUGGACCAAAUAGUUGGGCAUCCUUUUGUUAUUUUCGAAUUAUAAAUUUUCGAACGUCGAAACAAGAAUAUUUUUGGCAAAGGACUCGGGUUAUUCAAAUGUUAUUAACAAGAACCACAUUUCAAAAACAUUUUUAAUUUUAGACAAAAGGACAGUAUUUAAUCGAUUUGGUACCAAUUUUGGGCGUAAUGAGGGUGCUAAUCCUUCCUCAUACGUAACCGACUCCCGAGCCUAUUUUCUCAUAUUUUCGUAGACCAAAAUCAUUGUUUUAGUAAACCAAAAUAUUUUAUUAAAACAACCCAAAUUUCUAGGUGAUCCGAUCACACCUAAAUAAGAAAAGAUUGGUGGCGACUCCAUUUUCGCUUUCCAAAAAGUCGAUCCAUCAUUUUUAAAUCGAAAAAAAAAACAAAAAAAUGGUUUCGACAUUAUGAGUAAAUUUUUGUUUUGGUCACUUAAUUAAAAAAAGUUACAAUUUGUCACUGAAUUAUUCAAAAGUUUUCAUUUAAGUCAUUGAACUAUUUAAAAGUUUGUAUUUAAAUUAUUGGGUUUUUUUUUUUAUAAAAAAAGUCUCACCAUUGAGCUCCAAGCGAUGAUUUGACGAUCGAUAUGAUGGUCAAUGCUAGAGAUCGAAAGAAAACGUUUGUUUGAAUUUUAGUUCGUACAUCCAUGACAUCCAAAGUUAUUUUGUGAAAGAAAUUGUACUAUAGAAGAGAAGGGGAACAGAAAAUCAUACCAUAUUGAUUUUAAUAGUUCAAUGACUUAAAUAAAUUUUUUUGAAUAAUUAAUAAUUAAAUUUUAAUUAUUUUAAUUAAGUGACUAAAACAAAAACUUUUAUAUAAUUUAAUGAAUAAUGGUGUAGUUUAUAAAAAAACAAAUGAGAAGCGUUGGGAAGGAAGAGAAUGACGACGUAUUUGUUUCAUUUCUGCAAGCAUUCAAAGACACGUCCCUUGUAACUUCAUUAUUUUUUCCCUCAUUUUCUUCAUGAAGGUUCCAAGAGAAGACCUUACUUUUCCGAUAGGCGUGGUUAGAUUUAAUAACUUUGAAUGGAAAUAAAUAUUUAGGAGAGGAUUAUAGUGAAGGGGCAAUUUCAUUUAUUUCAAAAUAAACAUGUAUUAUUCGAAAGUAAAUAAGAGUAAUUGUAAUCUUUAUAUUAUUUUUAAAUAACAAAUAAAUAAAGCUGAAUAUAACAUACAUGUUAAUGAAGAAUUUACAUUGUUGGAUGGUAUCAAAGUUUAAGUCUUAAUAAUAUGCAUUUUCAAUGUGUGGAUCUCUUAAUCCAAUAUAUAUGUUUUUCAUGGAUGAAUUUUGUUCUGUUGUUUCUAAUUUUUUAUCCAUCAUGCUUUGUUUUAGUUUAAUUCUAUUUUACAAUUUAUCAUACUUUAUUUGUAAUAGUAAAAAGUUCUAAAAAAACUAUUUAUUUAUAUUCAUAAAAACUAACAUGAUAAACAUUCGUAAAUACUAAAUAUUGUAAAAGUCAAUUGAAUUUUAUUUCAAUUGACAUUGUUGUUGUUGGAACAACAAAAAUAUAUGAGUUUAAACAUUAUUAAGCGCGUAUUGCCUUCUUUGGAAGGUUAUGGAUAGUAAAAUUGUAUAAUAAAAAAUUAGCAUUUCUAAAAAUAAAAAAUAUAUGGUAACAAAAAAACUAAUAUUCUCAAUAGUAUAUUAUUUUUUAAUAAUUCUCAAUGUGGCAUUUAAAUUUUGAUGACAAAUAUUAUGAUUUUUAAAAUGACUGAGAAGUAUAUUAUAUGAUACAAAAUAAGACGAAUAAAAAAUAUUUCCUCAAGACCUAAUACAAUUGAAUUGACUAUCAGCUGAUAUGUGGUUUCGAGAUAUUUCUUUCUUUUAAAAUCAAUAUAUUUGCAAAAUAAAUUAAGAAUGGGAAACAUAGAUCACCAAGAUCUCCUUAAUUUGUCCCUUAUAACAUAUUAUAAUUUUAAUUGAAAUAUUUGAGGGUUUUUUUAAUAGGAGAUUCAAAUCUUCUUUGAAAAAGACAUGUAUAAACUAAUGUUGAUUAUUAAAAAAAAAAAAAACUGCUAACUUGUUAUUGUCGAAAUUAGCUCGAUAAGGGGUCCAUUGCAUUCUUUAUCUUGUAUUUUUUCCCCCUUUAUGCAUAAAAUAGGGAAUAUGCUUUUCUUUCUCAAGCCACAACUUGUCACCAUGUUGAAAAGCAAGCUUUGUAAACCCUUCAAAACUCGACAGUAGUUCAAUUGUUCAUUCGGUUUUUUCUAAGUAGCCUUCAAUUAUUUUCGGAUUUGGAUUUCAAAAUCUACAAAUUCUUCUCCUAUGUCUUAAGUUUAAAAGCAUUCGGACCAUAUAAAACAAGACCAAAAACAGAAGGAAUUCUAACAAAUUAAACAUGACAUGAAUAUGGUAUAUGACAAAUUAAGUUAGAGAUUCUUACAAAUAGUCGUGGAAGCAACAAGGUUCUCUCUUAAAUAGAUUAAUUUAAUCAUGACUUGUAUCUCGUAAGCUUUCAAGUGUUUGUUAAUGGUGAUCAAACAAUGACUCAUUUAUCUUCAAAGUGAUCUUUUUUCUUCAUAUUUAUUUAUAUUGUAUCAUAACAUCAUAGACCUUGCAUUAACAAAGGCUAAACAUGAACAAUAGAUCUAUAGUGUAGUAGGAAAAAGUUUUUGAAAUAGUUAUUUAUAUGUCAAUGGAAGUGGCCACUUGUUCACUUCGGCUAUUGAUGUGCUAAGCAUAUAAUUUGUCUUAUUUGUUAGCAUGUUUGAUCAAAAUAUUUUUCUAUUUUGCUUGCAUUUUUUGAGAAUUUUGCGCAGUCAAUUUCAUGUUUAUCAUUGGAAAAGAGAUUCAAUCAAGUAAGAUUGUUUUCUCAGAAGAUUACUAGUCACAAUAAAUGUAUUUUCUCACAAAGAACAAGAGCUGACUUAGGAAUUAAUUUAAUUUCUUUGGAUUUUUAUUUAAUUGGACGUAAUUAAAUAAUUGAGUCCAAAAUGAAAAUUAAAUAAAUUAGUCAUCACAAUUUUACUGAGGUUUUAAUACGGUAAAGUUACUACGUUUUAAGAGAAUUAGAAUUGGGUUAAGAAGAUAAUUGAAUUAAUUAAUUGAUUACUUUUAAUUAAUUAAAAAAUAUAUUUUGGGGAAUUAAAAACUAGACAUUGAGUUGGAUAACUUAUAUGACUUUUGUAAUAGCCAAUUUUGGCUCAUGUCUAUAAAAUAAAAUAAACCAAAAAUAAGUGAAAACCCAAAUGUUUAUUAAACAGUCCCUUUAUACAUUAAAAUGGCACAAAUCAAACAAUACCCCAAAACCCAAAUCUAACCUACCCUAGCCCAACUACACAAAACAAUUCAGCAACCCUAGCCCUUCCAAGCUUCAGCCGCCGCUUACCCCCUCAGCCUUGGCCUCCACGCGCCCCGCCUCACCUCCUCACGAGCCAACCACCAGCCUCCCAUGCACCUGGCACCUCUCUGAAACCUGCAAAAUAUUGAAUACAAUGACAAAGGGCAGCAAAAGAAACAAGCAGAAACGACAAAGAGAAUAGAAGUAGGGGGUCGUUUAAUCGGCUUUAAAAAGCCAAGAUACACCUUUGUAAAUUUUUUACACACACCAUUAAUAAAAAAAAUAGAACAGAAGUUUCAAAAGGUGGAUUUUUUAACUAUCUAUUUUCGUUUUUUGCUUCUUUUAUUUUUAUUGUUUUUAUUUCAUAACUAAAAUCUUUCAAAUAUAAAAAGGAAGAAAUAAACUUACCUAAGUAGCCUCACGUCCUCAAUCGUCGUGGGAGUUUCACCGGCGUCGAGGGCCUCACAACCUUUUAAGGUUUGGCUAAAGGGACCAAAGGUCCUCUUUUAUUCGUUUUCUGUCGCAAAUAAGGGGUUAGACCUCUAGAUCCAGUCAAAACAAGUCUAAAGGGACCGUUUUGUGACUCCCUGACCACCGUAUACGGUGGAGGAGCGGCGGUCCGGCAAUGAGGCAAAGAUGGGUAUAUUACCCUAGCAAAAAUGGGAAAAAUAGAAGAGGGAGAGAGAGCAACAGAGGCUCUCUGUUGUUUUUUUUAAAAAAAAUGGAGCUGAAAUGGAGAGAAAUAAAUUUUUUUUUGGCUUUAAUAGCCUUGCAAAACGCUGCCGUUUUGCACUCCCCCCCACGCCUCAAAACGGCGUCGUUUUGGGGGGAAAACCCGCGACCUGACCCGGUUCAAAAGGGAGAUCCGCGUGUUUUCUGACGCCCAAAUGGGCUAUUUUCGGUUUUGGUCCCCCCUUUUUCGCAGCGCUACUCGAUUAAGCCCAAUUUUAUAUUUUUUUCGACUUCUAAUUUUACCCUAAAAUUUGCAUGCCCUUUUAUUUUGGCCAGAGAUGAAGUGCAGCGCAUUGAGAGGUUUGGGAUUUUUUUUCGUUUCACCCCCUCACAUUUUUAGCCUGUUGCGAUUUGGCCUUUUACUUCAUUUUUGUUAUUUCAAGUCAAUACCCCGAAUUUUGGUUCAUUUUCAAUCCCAUCCUAAAUUUAUUUAAUUCAUUUACUUUACAUCUAUCUUAAUUUAUUUAAACAUGUUGUUUAUUCAAAUUAUUAUUAUUUAUUCUAAUGUGCUCUAUGUACUGUUUAUUCAAAAUUGUUUUAUUAUGUAUUUUAAAUCACCUUAUAUAUAUAUACUUGUUUCUAAACCAUUUUAUAUGUAUUAUUUAUUUUAGAUUCUUUCCCCAUAUUAUAUACAUAUUACUUUUCGAAUAUUGAUAUAUAUAUCGUUUUUUUUUUAAAAAAAACUGUUUUGUAUGCUGUCCAUUUCAAAUUUCAUUUUACAUAUUAUUUUAAACUCUUAGUAUAUAAAUUUUAAAUUGACUUAUAUUGCUUAUUUUUCACUAUUUCAUAUGCCUUAUUUUAAACUCUUUUCGUUUAUUUUAAAUUGUUUUACUAUUUUUUACUUUAAUAGUUUUUGUAAUAUUUAUUUUACACUUUCAUAUUUAUAUAUCAUUUAUUUUAAAAUUUUAUAUAUAUAUAAUCUGUUUUAAAAUCGUUUUAUACAUAGUUGAUUUUAAAUUUGUUAUUUUACAUUAUUUUGGAAUUCAUUUACUACCAUUCAUGAAUCAUUUUACAUUUUUAUUUACUUUAUACGUACCUUUUAUUUUUUUUAAGAUUGUUAUAUAUUAUCUAGUUCAUUGGCUUUGGUUAUUGAUGUUGGUAUUUAAUAAUGUAUGUUGUGUGAUUACUGCCAUUGGAUAUUUUAAUUUGUUGAUUUCGUUUUAUUUUGUUCGUUUCGUAUUACUGUCAUUUACUUUAUAAUGUUUUAUUCAUGCAUUGUCGUUCCAUGUCUCACUAUAUUUUUAUUUCAUAUUAUUGCCUCAUGAAUUAAUCCUCGCUACAUUUAUCUAAUAAAUCGUUUUAACCUAAAUAAAUAACGUACGUCAUUUAAAUAUCACACUCACUAUUAUUCAAAAGCAAAAAUUUCAAAAUAAGGCAAUAUUUUGCAUUUGGAGCAUCAAAGAAUUGUGCCCUAACUUAUGGGGUUUCGGUUUUCUCGUUGAUUCUAGAUUGCCAAAUACCUUUUUGAGUUUUAAAAUACAUGGAUUUCUAAUUAAAAUUAAAGACAAACUUGCGCUGGGGAGUUCAUGGUAUUGUGUCCUAACUUACGGGAUGUGAUACUUCGAUAUCUCGAGACGAGGGAAUCUUUAGCAAUCUUUUAAUCUAAUUCAAGCAUUUUUUUAAAUCGACAUUAAUAAAAAAGGAUCAUAUUUUAAAUCCAUUCUCGAUUUUCAAUUUUCGACAUUAAGACACUAACUAAUCAAUUCGGUACCAAUUUUUGAGCGUGUCGAGGGUGCUAAUCCUUUCUCGUACAUAACCGACUCCUGAACUUGUUCUCUUGAAUUUUGAAGACGAAAAUGCCGUUUUAGUAAACUAAAAUUGAUUUAUUUAAACAAAGGUGAUCCGAUCACACCUAAUAAAGAUCGGUGGCGACUGCCGUUUUAAUUUUCUUUUUCAAACGAAGUUGAUUCCCAUUUUCAAAAAAAAUAGUUUCGACAGCUUGGCGACUCCACUGGGGAUUCUUGAGAGUCAAGCCAUAAAAUUGAUCAUUUUUUGUUCUUUGUCAAAAUUUGAAAAUCUGUUUUAAACUUACGGUCAUUUCAUCGCAUCAUUUCAUUGCAUUUCCUCUGUGUGGUCUCUGUCUUUUUAUAUGAUUGGCUUUUUGUUCAACUCUUUUAAGUAUACUUUUGCGCAUCAUAUUGCAUUGUUGGUCAAUUUUACUCCUUUAAGUGGAAGUGAGAAACUACUCCUUCGUGAGGUCUUCACCUCCGUAUAGGAUAGUGGAUCGCUUUCGGGAUACAUUCGUACCUGUGUCUUCAUGAGAUUUUCAUCUCCGUAUAGCCGUAGGGAAAUGUAUUCCCCUGAACCGAACUCAGUCCGUAUGAGCCUAUAAUGGGUGAGGACCGAGGAAUUCACUAGUUCAGGUACCUUUACUUUAGAACUGAACCACAUGUAAUGAGCCCUAAGAGCCUACCCUAGGUAGAACCACACCAAACCCUAGUGGUUACCCGAAUAGGUGUUAAUUUAUUUCCUGUUUACUUUGAGUUCUAUUCUUUGUUUUAAUACUGACUUGUUGUGUUUGUUGUUAUUGCAUGACAUCUCAUCAUAAAAAGGUGUUGAUUCAAGUUUGGUUACUAGAUAAAAAAAGCUUAGCAUGGAAAAAGUAUUUCUUGAUAGAGUGGAGGAUAAUGCGGCCAUCCGAGUGUGGUCCGAGAGAAUGCAACAAGAGAAAGGAGAUAGUUUGACCGAGGGAUAUGAAUCGAAGUUGUGGGAUUUCACUGGCAUCAGUGUGACACAGAACGACCUGCAAGAAUUAAGGGAUAUAUAGAAUAGUUGGAAUAGCGAGGUCAAGCAACUUUUUUAUUGUAACUACGGUGACCUACUGUAUUUGCUCGAUGUAAAGGUGGACAAGUACUUGUUCCGGGCCGUCGCGUAGUUUUGGAACCCCGCUUACAGUUGCUUCACAUUCGGAUGAGUUGAUUUAGUACUUACUGUGGAGGAAUACAUGGCGUUACUUAAUUGUCCGAAGAUUCAGGCUGACAGGGUCUAUUCAAGACCUGUCACCGUCCCUCCCUUUUUGAAGAAAUUGAUGAAUAUCAUGGGGAUGAGCGAGCAAUGGGUUGCAGCCCGCAUCAAGCAAAAAUGGGAUAGUAAGUGUAUUUCUUAGAGGAAUUUGAGGGACUUGAUCCUUGCACACCCGGAUUCGAAGAAAAGGGUUGACGUUUUUGCCUUAAGCUUCUACGGUUUGAUCAUCUUUCCUAAGGCGCUAAGACACAUAGAUGAAGUCGUCUCAGAUUUAUUCGAUCGACUUGAUAAAGGUACCACACCCGUCCCGGCAAUCCUAUCAGAAACUUUUAGAUCCUUGAAUGCAUGUCGGAGAGCAGACGAAGAAAGAUUUAUUGGUUGUGCACAGCUUCUAUUAGCUUGGUUCCAUAGCCAUUUUUGGAAGGUGGAGAAGGUCUCGUAUCGAGUUUUCUCCAAGGACUAUUCCCCAUUAAGGGAAUUAGUGGCCACAUCGAGGCGAGACAAUAUCUCAGAAGAGAAAUGGAUAACUAUUCUCCAGAAUUUGAGAGCCAAAGAUGCUGAAUGGAGGGCUCUAUGGUUGAUCCCUGAUGAGAUCUUAUAUCGGUGUGGUAAUUUUGACUGGGUCCCUCUGGCUAGAAUAUAGGGAGCCAUUGGAUACGCUCCACUGAUGGUGUUAAAGCAGUAUCGAUCAAGGCAGUUUAUACCGGUGACACAAGGGUUGGUACAAUGUGAGUUCCCCUAUAAAGAAAACAACUAUAAGAGGAAAGUUCGUGAGAUAUCAGAUGCUUAGAACCGAACUCGAAGAAUGAAAAGAUUCACCACGGGUCCGAUGAUGACCCUCGAGUAUGAAUGAUGGUGGGGUAAGAGAGUCAACGACAACAUCCCUAGCCUGAAUCAAGGGAACACUCAACUGAUAGAGGAGCAUUUACGAGUCAUCCCAUCCGAGUUAGAGAUCAUUAAGUAAGACUUCGAGAAAAGGAACUCGGAGUUGGAGAAGAAGAUAGAGUAGCUAGAAGAAGAGAAAAUGAAGUUGGGAUUAGACGUCGAUAUCCACAAGCUAGAGGCUGAGAAAUUAAGGAAGGGAAAGAACAAGGCCGAGGAAGAUUUGAAUAGUCUGAAAACCAAUUACAAGAAGCUGCGUAUGUCUAUAAGAACUGCCGAUUUAGGUAAAACGUCGGAGCAAUGGCGUCAAGAGAUUAAAGAGGAAAAGACUAGAGCCGACCAUUGGGAGAAAAGGUUUCAAGAUGCCCGAGUAUGAGAGGACACUGUGAAAAAGAGUUUGUUAGAAAGCCAAAACAAAAAGGAGAAGUUACGAGCUUAGGUGGCUGAAUUGGAAAGAUCACUAUAUCAAUAUCGUAGCCGUAAUUCCGUGAUUGAGCUGAAGGCUACUCUAAGCAGGAUCGAAGAGUUGAAAGGGAAAGUAGAGGAACUCGAGACUGUGUUACGAUAUAGCAAAAUUUGAGUGGAACUUUUUGAGGCAAACAACGAUCAUUGCAGAGAACAGCUUCACUGCUCUCAAGACCAGAUUAGAGAUAGAGACUAUGUCAUGGGCGAAGUUGUGGCUCAGGUUCGGGAGGUAGCCGAUCACUUGAAAACCUUGGCAGUUCAGGCUGAUGUAUUGAGCUUAAAGUACGAGUCAAAAUCAGUUCGAGGCUGAAGCUUAGCUUGGCUUCUUAAGAAGGUUAAGGCUUUGGGCAUUAGGGCAAAGUCGUAUAUGUAAUCAUCCGUUCUAUGUAAAGAAAAUUUUCUUCUAGUAAAGUUCUUCUAAUGAAAUUGAAUCGGAAUCAACGCCUCUUUUUGCAUUCAUUCAUUUGCAUUACAUUUCAUCAUAUGCAUUAAAUUUCAUGAAAAGACCCUGAUUAAACAAAAUUAUUUUAGUUAAUCUAGAAACCAACAAGAAUCAACCAACCAAACACAGCUACAAUACACGUCGUAAAACCAAAACAAUGGAUUAGAGAUUAGAAAGAUUAGAACAAAUGCAAAGGGAUAUGUAAGA
rnacentral:lncRNA from 1 species